UCAGGUGGUUCUUGCGGCAGGGCCCCACCUCUUCCCAUUCCGAACAGAGAAGUUAAGCCUGCCUGCGCCGAUGGUACUGCAAUGCAAUGCGGGAGAGUAGGUCGCCGCCUUCU
rnacentral:rRNA from 1 species